AUUUAAUCAGUAACGUUCAACGAAAACACCCAGUUGUUUGGGGGAAUUCACGACCGAAGUGCAGCUAAGUGAGGUCACAACACUCGGAAAAUCAUAUACACAAAGUGUGGAGUGCAUCUUAAAGCUAACGUAAGCAUAUAAAAUAUUGAUUAAUAUGGCUUAUCGCUCGCUUCGAAAAGGCCAUAAAACACGACUUGGGGCCUAAGCAGUCCUUGAACUCGUAAAUUAUGGAAAUGGGCGUGUAUCCUGUGGGCGGUUUGGACCAUUGCAUUUCCGCCGAUGCAAAUCAAAGAAACACACCCCUCCUGGCGGGUAUUUGAGUGUGAUACUCACACUUUGACAGCUGGCGUGAAUGUCACCCGGUUAGUCACUGUGUGUGUCACACAGUCAACCAGUCAACCAGUCAUUCAGUCAACCAGCCAGUCAGUCAAUCGCUCAGGCGCCCAUUCAGGUCUCGUUUCCAGCUCGCUCGCUUGUCAAACUGUGCAUAAAAUAUGUGAAUACAUGCAUAUGUGCCCGCACACUCACAUUCCGGCUGAUGUAUUCAUUUGCUCAUUCAGCAAGUUAAGUAGGAAUAAAAUUGUCAAUUUUCAUGUCAUUAUUUCAUGUCGUCGUCGCCGUCGCCAUUGCCGUUUGCCGUAUGUGUCAACUGUGACACACUCUCCACACUCUGCACACAAUCGUCGCCCUGCGUUUUCAGAUAUGAUUUAUUCACUUGGCUUGAUUUAUUACAACCAUCCCAACGGCUGCGGCUGCCCGUAAAUUGUUCUGCCUACAAACCAAUAAUAAUUGUAUCCAUCGUCGUCAACGUCAGGCGGCCGAACUUUAGUUGCACCGCAAUUUUUUACAUAAAUUAUUUGACUAAGCCCCCAACUUGAUUAAAACUUGGCCCAGACUACCCAGACUUCCGUACCGUUCCGACUCCACCGUAACGUAUGACACUUUAUGAAUUUGGAGCGCAAAGUUUCGAGGGCUCAAAGUUUGCCGGUGUCGGUUUGUCGCUUUGUCGGUUGGAGCCGUAAACAAUUGGCCAUGCCAGUUAUCUCCUGCACUCCGAGAAAUUGCACCUAAUUCGAUUUAAGUCGCUUGUAAUUGCUUAAUUAGUUUCGAGUGUGUGAUCUUGGUCCACUGAGAUAUGUUUUACCUUAGCUACUAAAGAGUUGCAUUGCGGGAGCUUUUGGCUUGAAUAAAUCCUGAAAUCAGUACAAAUUACUAGACAAUUAAAGAAAAAAAUACUUCAGCGAGCUCCUGGCAUACCUCAGCUGCCAUAAAGGUGGCUUCGGCCCAACUUGGCGGCGACUUAAUUAACUGCAGUCCGGCAAAGUCAGCGGUACACACGCACCUGGGGCCGUCGCAGUGGAAGAGGAAGAGGACGAGAACAAGGACGAGGAUGAGGGAUGGGGGAUGGGGAUGAAGUGCAUCCUGGCAGGACGAGAAGGCCAGUUAAUUUCAUGCUGCCUGGCUUUAGCCCUACGACGCCAUGUGUUUUAAAGUGAUUUUCUUGGCCAGGCGCCUUUUGUUUAUGUUGCGGCAUAAGAGCGCCGCUUUACCGCAAGUGUCAACAUUUAUUUCCAACUUAACACUUUUGGCGUAACAUGGCGCUUAAUCCGCAGCGCCAAGUCGAGCCGCGCCAAGAACUUGACUAAUUUUGUGCAAAGUUCAGCAUUAACAUUACCGCAAAUUAGCAAAAGUUUUCGCACAAACAGCCGCAGCGCAGGAAAACAAAAAAAAAAACAUGAAGAAGAAAAUAAAAUUGCAGAAGAGGGGAGAGUGCUGGAGCAAAGUGGUAAAUCCGAUUGCAGGGAUUGCACGGUGGGAAAACCGAAGGAAAAGGGAGCCAAACGGGCUGCAGGGAGCACUUUGAGUUGUGGCAUCAGCAGACGUUGCCUGUAGUAUCUGGGAUGGUUCACUGACUGCCAUAAAUUAACUUGUCUAGGCCCGAUUCCUUGCCGGGCGGCCUGUCCCCAAAACUUCUUGCCAGAUUCAGCAGCUGGAGCAGCUCCAUUCCUCUUCCUUGUAAUCCGCUUCACACUUAAUGUUUUCUUUUGCCAGCUUGGUUUCCACUUUUGUUGCACGUCGCAAAAGUGUUGUUUAAUUGGGUACAUGUCUUCGAAAUCGAAGUGUCACCAGAUUAGUAAGCUGCUUAAAGCAAGAUAGAUACAUUCGAAAACCAAAAUAAAUAGUAAAUGAAGUAGUUGCCAAAUGUUUCAAACUAA